rnacentral:rRNA from 1 species
AUUGAACGCUGGCGGCAGGCUUAACACAUGCAAGUCGAGCGGGGGAAGGUAGCUUGCUACCGGACCUAGCGGCGGACGGGUGAGUAAUGCUUAGGAAUCUGCCUAUUAGUGGGGGACAACAUCUCGAAAGGGAUGCUAAUACCGCAUACGUCCUACGGGAGAAAGCAGGGGAUCUUCGGACCUUGCGCUAAACGAUGAGCCUAAGUCGGAUUAGCUAGUUGGUGGGGUAAAGGCCUACCAAGGCGACGAUCUGUAGCGGGUCUGAGAGGAUGAUCCGCCACACUGGGACUGAGACACGGCCCAGACUCCUACGGGAGGCAGCAGUGGGGAAUAUUGGACAAUGGGGGGAACCCUGAUCCAGCCAUGCCGCGUGUGUGAAGAAGGCCUUAUGGUUGUAAAGCACUUUAAGCGAGGAGGAGGCUACUCUAGUUAAUACCUAGGGAUAGUGGACGUUACUCGCAGAAUAAGCACCGGCUAACUCUGUGCCAGCCGCCGCAGUAA